rnacentral:rRNA from 1 species
CACCGGAGAGGGAGCCUGAGAAACGGCUACCACAUCCAAGGAUGGCAGCAGGCGCGCAAAUUACCCAAUCCCGACACGGGGAGGUAGUGACAAUAAAUAACAAUACGGGGUUCUUUAGGAUCUCGUAAUUGGAAUGAGUACAAUUUAAAUCUCUUAACGAGGAACAAUUGGAGGGCAAGUCUGGUGCCAGCAGCCGCGGUAAUUCCAGCUCCAAUAGCGUAUAUUAAAGUUGUUGCAGUUAAAAAGCUCGUAGUUGAAUUUCGGGGUUAGUAGGUUGGUCAUGCCUCUGGUAUGUACUGGUCUCACUGAUUCCUCCUUCCUUAUGAACCGUAAUGCCAUUAAUUUGGUGUUGCGGGGAAUUUGGACUGUUACUUUGAAAAAAUUAGAGUGUUUAAAGCAAGCUAACGCUUGAAUACAUUAGCAUGGAAUAAUGAAAUAGGACGUUCGAUCUUAUUUUGUUGGUUUCUAGGAUUGACGUAAUGAUUAAUAGGGAUAGUUGGGGGCAUUAGUAUUCAAUUGUCAGAGGUGAAAUUCUUGGAUUUAUUGAAGACUAACUACUGCGAAAGCAUUUGCCAAGGAUGUUUUCAUUAAUCAAGAACGAAAGUUAGGGGAUCGAAGACGAUCAGAUACCGUCGUAGUCUUAACCAUAAACUAUGCCGACUAGGGAUCGGAUGAUGUUAAUUUUUUAAUGACUCAUUCGGCGCCUUACGGGAAA